rnacentral:rRNA from 1 species
GUAGGUGGCAAGCGUUGUCCGGGAAUUAUUGGGGCGUAAAGCGCGCGCAGGCGGUUCUUUAAGUCUGAUGUGAAAGCCCACGGGCUCAACCGUGGAGGGUCAUUGGAAACUGGAGAACUUGAGUACAGAAGAGGAAAGCGGAAUUCCACGUGUAGCGGUGAAAUGCGUAGAGAUGUGGAGGAACACCAGUGGCGAAGGCGGCUUUCUGGUCUGUAACUGACGCUGAGGCGCGAAAGCGUGGGGAGCAAACAGGAUUAGAUACCCUGGUAGUGCACGCCGUAAACGAUGAGUGCUAAGUGUUAGGGGGUUUCCGCCCCUUAGUGCUGCAGCUAACGCAUUAAGCACUCCGCCUGGGGAGUACGGCCGCAAAGGCUG